UAAUCUCUGAUCUCACAACUGAAUCUUCCAUCUUUAAACCAAAUUUCAGCCUUGAAAACUCAACAAAUGAUUAUGAUUUCUCAGAAUUCGAAACAAAGCCUGUAAAACACACAAACUUUAGUGAAAGGAAGCCUUCGUUGAAUAUUCAUAUUCCUCAUGUGAAGAAAUUGGAGCGGGACAGUACAGUUAAGGUGGUGGAGAAGAAAGUUGAAGAUUCUGGCGAGAGGAAGCGGUAUAGAGGAGUCAGACAGCGGCCAUGGGGGAAGUUCGCGGCGGAGAUACGCGAUCCUAACCGGAAAGGGACUCGGGUUUGGCUAGGGACUUUCGAGACGGCCGUGGAGGCGGCGAAGGCUUACGACAGGGCGGCGUUUAAGCUGAGAGGGAGCAAAGCAAUAGUGAAUUUCCCACUUGAAAUUACCAACUCCAACCCUCCUCUGCCGGAAAAUACUGAACGGAAAAGGGUGAUAGAAGAGGAAAGUCUAGAGAGAAAAACAAAGGUGGUAAAGAGAGAAGAAGUUGAGAAUGAUAAAAUUGGAGCCUCCCCGGCUGUGCCACUAACGCCAUCAAGUUGGACGGCGGUUUGGGAUUCUGGCGAUAUGAAGGGUAUAUUUGAUGUGCCGCCGUUAUCUCCAUGAUCUCCACAUCCAAGUUUGGGUUAUUCAAAAUCAAGGCUCACGGUUAAUUAAUUUUGGGGCUUAAAAUUGUGUUUAAUUACUUUAUUAGAUUAAAAGAUGCACCUGCUUAAAAGUUGGGGUGAGUUAGUGAUUUAGAGAAGUACAAGGGUGAGAUUUGUAAUUUCAUGUGUUUUUUAAUUCAAUGUGCAUACUGGGUUAUUAGUUUGAGAUUUCGUUUAUUCAUUUGUACGAGAGAUACAAUGGCAAUCGUGUUACUUUUAUUAAAUUUUUAAUUUUUCUUUUGUCAAAAAGCAUAAUUUUCAGCCAUCAAUUCCACAAGCUUUGAAUUUAUAAUUGCACCAUACAUAUAUUAUCUAUAUAAAAUAGACACAAUUUUUUGAACUUUUUUUUUUUUUUGCCUUUUAAUACUGGACAUUCAUAUGUUUACUUUACUAAACAACUCAUUAUCAUUUACGAAAAUUUAAUGGCAUUUGCAUUGUCGAAAACUCACAUGAAUUAGUUUAAGACACAUACGUAUUGUGCACGAAUUCUAUUCUACUAGAUCACUAACGAGACGCGAUAAGUUGAUAGCGAUGAGUAGAGAAGAAUAAUUGAUUAGAUAAAAUGUGCGUGCACUACCCAAUUUUAUUUUCCUUCAUAAAAUAUAUUAGUAUAGUUUAAAAGCGUUUUUAGUUCAAUUUUGAUUCCAUCUUUGAUGCAUGUAAUAAAAUCUUUUAGACUUCACAAAAUAGGAUAUGAGCGAGAAAUAUCUAAAAUUGUAGCCAGUCGAGUAAAUACUGUGUAAAUCUUAUAUUUCCGCGAUAACCUAAAUGAACUUUUUGAAUAAAAUAUAGAGUAAAACUUACCCCAUAUGAAGUGGUUCUUGGUCUCAUCGUAAUCCAUAGACUAUUAUUGGCAGCAAUAACAAACUUCUUCAACCUUCAAUAAUCCUUACAUAAUGCUUCCUAGUUUUUCUUCUCACUUAAAUGCAUCAUCUACGAAAGGUCAAGCCUCGCAUGCUCCUACAACAUGAG
rnacentral:lncRNA from 1 species